AGCACCCUGCGCGAGAGGACCCGUGGGCUGUGCUUGCCCCACACAGACCCCAGCCCCGCGGCCCGUCCCGAGGAGAGCUGGGCGGUGGCGGGAAGCCCCCGAGCACCAGGUGGAGAACAGCCGAACAAGAAGGUGCCCCGUGUUCUGGAAGCUGGAGGAGAGGCCGGGGAGCCCACAGCUGGGAGCGACCGCAGCGCAGACGCGAGCAGGCGCUGGCAGUACUCGAAGGCCUUCUCCCGCAGCCAUUGCUGGGGCGGCAGCAGGUGUCCGGCGGUGGAGGCGGCCGAGAGCACGGACAGGGUGGAGCCUUCCAGCUCCGAC